UACGGAGGGUGCAAGCGUUAUCCGGAAUCAUUGGGUUUAAAGGGUGCGUAGGUGGGUAGGUAAGUCAGUGGUGAAAUCUCCAAGCUUAACUUGGAAACUGCCAUUGAUACUAUUUAUCUUGAAUUUUCUGGAGGUGAGCGGAAUAUGUCAUGUAGCGGUGAAAUGCUUAGAUAUGACAUAGAACACCAAUUGCGAAGGCAGCUCACUACGGGAAUAUUGACACUGAGGCACGAAAGCGUGGGGAUCAAACAGG
rnacentral:rRNA from 1 species